rnacentral:piRNA from 1 species
UAAGGAAUAACAAGUGGGAAACUUCUCAGC